rnacentral:rRNA from 1 species
AUGACGAGUGGCGGACGGGUGAGUAAUGCUUGGGAACUUGCCUUUGCGAGGGGGAUAACAGUUGGAAACGACUGCUAAUACCGCAUAAUGUCUUCGGACCAAACGGGGCUUCGGCUCCGGCGCAAAGAGAGGCCCAAGUGAGAUUAGCUAGUUGGUAAGGUAACGGCUUACCAAGGCGACGAUCUCUAGCUGUUCUGAGAGGAAGAUCAGCCACACUGGGACUGAGACACGGCCCAGACUCCUACGGGAGGCAGCAGUGGGGAAUAUUGCACAAUGGGGGAAACCCUGAUGCAGCCAUGCCGCGUGUGUGAAGAAGGCCUUCGGGUUGUAAAGCACUUUCAGUUGUGAGGAAAAGUUAGUAGUUAAUACCUGCUAGCCGUGACGUUAACAACAGAAGAAGCACCGGCUAACUCCGUGCCAGCAGCCGCGGUAAUACGGAGGGUGCGAGCGUUAAUCGGAAUUACUGGGCGUAAAGCGCACGCAGGCGGUUUGUUAAGCUAGAUGUGAAAGCCCCGGGCUCAACCUGGGAUGGUCAUUUAGAACUGGCAGACUAGAGUCUUGGAGAGGGGAGUGGAAUUCCAGGUGUAGCGGUGAAAUGCGUAGAUAUCUGGAGGAACAUCAGUGGCGAAGGCGACUCCCUGGCCAAAGACUGACGCUCAUGUGCGAAAGUGUGGGUAGCGAACAGGAUUAGAUACCCUGGUAGUCCACACCGUAAACGCUGUCUACUAGCUGUGUGUGUCUUUAAGGCGUGCGUAGCGGAAGCUAACGCGCUAAGUAGACCGCCUGGG